rnacentral:rRNA from 1 species
AGAGUUUGAUCCUGGCUCAGGACGAACGCUGGCGGCGUGCUUAACACAUGCAAGUCGAGCGAUGAAGCUUCCUUCGGGGAGUGGAUUAGCGGCGGACGGGUGAGUAACACGUGGGUAACCUGCCUCAAAGUGGGGGAUAGCCUUCCGAAAGGAAGAUUAAUACCGCAUAAUAUAAGAGAAUCGCAUGAUUUUCUUAUCAAAGAUUUAUUGCUUUGAGAUGGACCCGCGGCGCAUUAGCUAGUUGGUAAGGUAACGGCUUACCAAGGCAACGAUGCGUAGCCGACCUGAGAGGGUGAUCGGCCACAUUGGAACUGAGACACGGUCCAGACUCCUACGGGAGGCAGCAGUGGGGAAUAUUGCGCAAUGGGGGAAACCCUGACGCAGCAACGCCGCGUGGGUGAUGAAGGUCUUCGGAUUGUAAAGCCCUGUUUUCUAGGACGAUAAUGACGGUACUAGAGGAGGAAGCCACGGCUAACUACGUGCCAGCAGCCGCGGUAAUACGUAGGUGGCGAGCGUUGUCCGGAUUUACUGGGCGUAAAGGGUGCGUAGGCGGAUGUUUAAGUGGGAUGUGAAAUCCCGGGCUUAACCUGGGGGCUGCAUUCCAAACUGGAUAUCUAGAGUGCAGGAGAGGAAAGCGGAAUUCCUAGUGUAGCGGUGAAAUGCGUAGAGAUUAGGAAGAACACCAGUGGCGAAGGCGGCUUUCUGGACUGUAACUGACGCUGAGGCACGAAAGCGUGGGUAGCAAACAGGAUUAGAUACCCUGGUAGUCCACGCCGUAAACGAUGGAUACUAGGUGUAGGGGGUAUCAACUCCCCCUGUGCCGCAGUUAACACAAUAAGUAUCCCGCCUGGGGAGUACGGUCGCAAGAUUAAAACUCAAAGGAAUUGACGGGGGCCCGCACAAGCAGCGGAGCAUGUGGUUUAAUUCGAAGCAACGCGAAGAACCUUACCUGGACUUGACAUCCCUUGCAUAGCCUAGAGAUAGGUGAAGCCCUUCGGGGCAAGGAGACAGGUGGUGCAUGGUUGUCGUCAGCUCGUGUCGUGAGAUGUUAGGUUAAGUCCUGCAACGAGCGCAACCCUUGUUAUUAGUUGCUACCAUUAAGUUGAGCACUCUAAUGAGACUGCCUGGGUAACCAGGAGGAAGGUGGGGAUGACGUCAAAUCAUCAUGCCCCUUAUGUCCAGGGCUACACACGUGCUACAAUGGUAGGUACAAUAAGACGCAAGACCGUGAGGUGGAGCAAAACUUAUAAAACCUAUCUCAGUUCGGAUUGUAGGCUGCAACUCGCCUACAUGAAGCUGGAGUUGCUAGUAAUCGCGAAUCAGAAUGUCGCGGUGAAUACGUUCCCGGGCCUUGUACACACCGCCCGUCACACCAUGAGAGCUGGUAACACCCGAAGUCCGUGAGGUAACCGUAAGGAGCCAGCGGCCGAAGGUGGGAUUAGUGAUUGGGGUGAAGUCGUAACAAGGUAGCCGUAGGAGAACCUGCGGCUGGAUCACCU